GACGAACGCUGGCGGCGUGCUUAACACAUGCAAGUCGAACGGAAAGGCCCUGCUUUUGUGGGGUGCUCGAGUGGCGAACGGGUGAGUAACACGUGAGUAACCUGCCCUUGACUUUGGGAUAACUUCAGGAAACUGGGGCUAAUACCGGAUAGGAGCUCCUGCUGCAUGGUGGUGGUUGGAAAGUGUCGGCGGUUGGGGAUGGACUGGCGGCUUAUGAGCUUGUUGGGGGGGUAGUGGCUUACCAAGGCUUUGACGGGUAGCCGGCCUGAGAGGGUGACCGGGGACCUGAGUACUGAGAGACGGCGCAGAAGCCUACGUGCGGCAGCAGUCGGGAAUAUUGCACAGUGGCGGCACGUGUGAUGCAGCAACGUCGCGUGCGUGAUACUGUCCUUCGGGUUGUAAACCGCUUUCGCCUGUAACGAAGCGUGAGUGACGGUAAUGGGUAAAGAAGCAACGGCUAACUACGUG
rnacentral:rRNA from 1 species